rnacentral:tRNA from 1 species
GCGCCUUUAGCUCAGCUGGAUAGAGCAUACGCCUUCUAAGCGUAGGGUCAGAGGUUCGAAUCCUCUAAGGCGCG